ensembl:lncRNA
UACCUCAAGAAUAAUCUCAGGAGGCCUCCUAUAAGCCAUCAGUGGCAACGACUGCCAAAAGCCUCUCCCACUUCCAAUCCAGGAGGGAGAAGUAUUGGAACGAACGAUAGCAGCACCUGCAAAUUAAAACACGGGCACAAUGGUCAAGCAAGGCCAGGAGGAAUCAAGGGCUGCUGACUGUUUUCCACGUGGACAGCUGCACAGAGAUGCCGGCUGCCUUUGCAGCUUUGCAAGUAUCAGUAGAUUGUAGAGCCCUGUGCUGACACCAAAAGGCUCCCAGUGUGAUAACACUCAAUUCUCUUAAUUAUAAUGCCUUUCCAUGUACGACAACAAUAGAUGUGAAGGAUACGUGUUUUUUUGUUUUGUUUUUUGUUUUUAUGAUCCCAGUAUUGGCUAUGUAUAGGAGAGAUUUGCUUCUGUCUGGCAGGGACGCUGGUGGACAUUUGCCACAGAUUUGAAACACAGCCCUGCUUUAAUCAAGCUGUGUUCUCUGAAAAACACGAAGCAGUAAAAUUACCACAGGAGGUCACUGUUGUGACACGUAUGCCACAUCUAUAUGACAGUGCUGAGGACCAACAUUCCCCUUUUGAAUAGUGCUUCGUAUGCCUGUUCCUGCUGCUUCAGAAGUCACAGUCACAGACAUCUUGUAUGGUAAAAAGCUGAAGUUUGUUCUGGAAACCUGGUCUGCCUUUCUGAAAAUAUCACAAGGUCUGUGGAGAACAAUAGCGUGAGAAAAAUAAGGGAAAAUACUGCCAGGAUAGCUUUUGUGAAGGGUUACAAAGCUCUGAAUCUAAAGUUGUCUGUGUGCUUUUAGACAGAAGCUCAUGUAUGCAAGUUAGUCUAAUAAAAAAUAAGCG